CUGCAAACUGCCGCCCCAAUAAAGCUUGCUGCCUGAACAUCCAUGUGUGCCCCCUUCUUCAGCGACACUUUCAUUCUGGUGCCGAAACCUGGGAGGCAUAGCUAUUGGGACCUGUGGGCUCAUCCCACUAGGGCCCAGAGCUGCACUCCUGAUUGCCCCUUCCUGGACCUGCAGCUGCCAAACUGGGGCACACACCUCCGGGGCUCUCAGUCCUUUGCCAUUGCUGACGCUGCAUUCAACACCAGCCUGAUUCUCUCAACGGACUUGGCUGCCAUGGCAAUCGUCACUGCUCCUAAAGAACCAGCACUCUGGGAGUUCCAUGUACACCAAGAAUGGCAGUGUUGGCAAAAGCAUGGCCAACUGGGGUGCCACAGGGCCUCCCGUGCUGUGCCAACUUCCCAGCCGGUGCCCACUCCCACCAAAACUUUGACCCUGAUCAGCAGGAAGUAGAUAUGGAAGAAGAGACCACUACCCCAGUUCCAUAACAAAUCAAAGGCUGGCAUGUUAGGUAUUUCAGAGCCCCCACAGAGCAAGCCCCCUCCUCUCCUUUCCCCCUGCCCCACUCCUGCCACAGGGAACUUCCACAUAACUAAGGCAUGACCUCUCUUUGUCAGUGACUCUCGGCCUAGUUAAGGACUUUCUACCCCACCGGUCUCAUGGUCAGAUAUUCCCGUAAGAUAGGGGCUUCCUGGAAACUGUUACAACACGCCCCUCCCCCAACCAAAACUUGUUGCCACAUACCCCAGCCCCAAUCACCCACCCCCACCAAUGGCCUAGUGCUCUCCCACCUGCAAAAUCCUAUAUAAGCCUCCAGCUCAGCCCAUGUAGGCUGCUGGUCUCCAUUCUGUGAGUCAGUCCAGCAGGCUGCAGACUGCUGCCCCAAUAAAGCUUGCUGCCUG
ensembl:lncRNA